UUUGUUCUGGGGGUGGUGAAGUGACUUCAGGUUCAGGUUGAGGUUGUUGUGGUUGUUGUGAGUUUUGGUUUAGAGAGUAAAGGUGGGCUAAGGUGGGAGAAGCGGGGUCAGAAGGUUCUGGGUCAGACGAGAGGAUAAGGUAGGGAGGUGAUUCUGGGUUUGAAGAUGAAGAGGUGGUUUGAUUGAGUUCUUCAGCUUCAGAACGUGGUAAAGAGGUAUGGGCAAGAUUGAAU
rnacentral:lncRNA from 1 species